rnacentral:rRNA from 1 species
CUCGUAGGUGGCCAACUAAGUCGGACGUGGAAUCCCUCGGCUUAACCGGGGAACUGCGUCCGAUACUGGUUGGCUUGAGUUUGGGAGAGGGAUGCGGAAUUCCAGGUGUAGCGGUGAAAUGCGUAGAUAUCUGGAGGAACACCGGUGGCGAAGGCGGCAUCCUGGACCAACACUGACGCUGAGGAGCGAAAGCCAGGGGAGCAAACG